GGCUCAGAACGAACGCUGGCGGCGUGCUUAACACAUUGCAGUCGAACGGGAAAGUUCCUUCGGGCAAUGAGUACAGUGGCGCACGGGUGAGUACACGUAGGUAACCUACCUUCCGCUGGGGAAUAACUCCGGGAAACCGAAGCUAAUUCCGCAUACGUCUCAUCAUCUAUAAGUUGGUGAGGGAAAGGUGGCCUCUUCAUGAAAGCUAUCGGCGGUAGAUGGGCCUGCGCACCAUUAGCUUGUUGGUAAGGUAACGGCUUACCAAGGCUACGAUGGUUAGCUGGUCUGAGAGGAUGAUCAGCCACACUGGCACUGAAACACGGGCCAGACUCCUACGGGAGGCAGCAGUGGGGAAUAUUGCGCAAUGGGCGAAAGCCUGACGCAGCAACGCCGCGUGAGUGAUGAAGGUUUUCGGAUCGUAAAGCUCUGUCAAAAGGGAAGAAUCUCUGGCGAGAACAAUACCUCGUCAGUUUGACGGUACCUUUAAAGGAAGCAACCGGCUAACUCCGUGCCAGCAGCCGCGGUAAUACGG
rnacentral:rRNA from 1 species